rnacentral:rRNA from 1 species
ACGGUCCUAAGGUAGCGAAAUUCCUUGUCGGGUAAGUUCCGACCCGCACGAAAGGCGUAAUGAUUUGAGCACUGUCUCGACAAUGCAUCCGGUGAAAUUGAAGUACCAGUGAAGAUGCUGGUUACCCGCGCCAGGACGGAAAGACCCCAUGGAGCUUUACUCCAGUUUGGUACUGGGGUCCGGCAGUGCAUGUACAGGAUAGGUGGGAGGCUGUGAACCUGGAACGCCAGUUUCAGGGGAGCCGAUGUUGGGAUACCACCCUUGUGCUGCUGGGCUUCUAACCAGCGGCCUUAAACAGGUCGGGGGACAAUGCCAGACGGGGAGUUUGACUGGGGCGGUCGCCUCCGAAAGGGUAUCGGAGGCGCUCAAAGGUUCCCUCAGAAUGGUCGGAAACCAUUCGAAGAGUGCAAAGGCAGAAGGGAGCUUGACUGCGACACCGACGGGUGGAGCAGGUACGAAAGUAGGACUUAGUGAUCCGGUGGUAUGAAAGUGGGAUUGCCAUCGCUCAACGGAUAAAAGCUACCCUGGGGAUAACAGGCUUAUCACUCCCAAGAGUUCACAUCGACGGAGUGGUUUGGCACCUCGAUGUCGGCUCAUCGCAUCCUGGGGCUGUAGUAGGUCCCAAGGGUUGGGCUGUUCGCCCAUUAAAGCGGUACGCGAGCUGGGUUCAGAACGUCGUGAGACAGUUCGGUCCCUAUCUGUCGUGGGCGCAGGAUAUUUGAAAGGCGCUGUCCCUAGUACGAGAGGACCGGGAUGGACGAACCUCUGGUGCACCAGUUGUCACGCCAGUGGCACAGCUGGGCAGCUAUGUUCGGAUCGGAUAAACGCUGAAAGCAUCUAAGCGUGAAGCCGGCCUUAAGAUAAGAUAUCCCACUGAGACAAUCAGGUAAGACCCCUUGAAGACUACAAGGUUGAUAGGCACAAUGUGUAAGUGGCGCGAGUCAUUGAGCAAGCGUGUACUAAUAGGUCGAGGGCUUGACCCC